AGUUAACCUUGACCUUUAUUUUACUGGCUCUUCCUAGUACUCACCUCUCUACGCUCCACGAUGUGGGACAACUAACUGAUAAACAAUAAACCCCACAUGUCUCAGUACAGAAAGAUGGAAUUUUUCAUUUUUCUGUUAUGUGUUUGCGAGACUUGCCAACUGCUUGCUAGGAUUCGUGGGUUUGUUUCCUAAUGAAGGGCUUCUGGCGAACUUUUUCUAGGCUUGGGGGUGUUGAGAAUUAAUGGGGUUAAAGAUGUGAUUGCCGUCGCUUCUGGUAAAGGCGUUGUUGGCAAGACUACCACUGCUGGUAAUCGAUUCUUUUCACAUUCAUGAGGUGGGGCUGCUUGAUGCUGAUGUGUGUGGACCAUCUGUUCCAACCAUGAUGAACGUCCACCAGAAUCCAGAAGUUACUAGGGGUGAUGAGUGCCUUCAAAACGCCAAGGGAAGUCGAUUGAGGAGGUCAUGAUAUUCUUGUGGUGGAUAUACCCCUAGCACAGGUAAUGUACAACUAUAUCCCAGAAGCUUCAGUUGUCAGGUAGAUAAUUAACUUUUAAUUUCUGUCUUCUUUUUCUUCCUUUUUUCUCCCUUUUGGGAAAAGGGCGUUUGCUGCUAUGCUUGAACUGGCAUCUUAUCAAGUUCAACAUGAGCUUGGGCUUGUCAUAAAACAUAAAGUACCUCUAUGGUUUCGUAGGCGUUCCACUGGCAUAGUAGUCUCACUGUGCUGUCUGUCAGACCUCAUUAUGAUCACUCAGAUCGUUGUGCCUAUAUUAUGCUUUUUAGUUGAUUUUCUUUGUGUAGUUGGAAUCGUUUUAACAUCACAAUAACUUGAAAGUUAGUUACUUUGGGGUAUCACCUUUUCCCUAUCCUUUUUGUGGCGAUAUUGAAGGCUAAACUUAUGUUUUCUUUUUAAUUCUCUAAGGUCUAGUUUCAGAAGGAUAACUAUAUCAUAAGUACUCUCUCCCCCAAAAUCUCUUUCCUUCCCAAGUAGUGAACCAGCAACAUUCUGAAAGGGGGACAAAGAAAGGAAAUGAAAGGAAACAUUUCUUCACUUACUUUUCUGAUAUAUUCUCUUAAUUCAAAACCUUAUGUUUGAUGGUUUUCAUUGUUGGCUUAUUAGGUGCUUUAAUGGUUUCAAUCCUGCAAGGUUUUGCAUUGAUUGAUGCUCGUAGGGGAGUUUGAAUGUUCUCUAAAGUUCAAGUUCCUUUAAACUUUCCCUCUCUAGUGGUGGAGUUCAGAAAUUUUAACAAUUAUUACUCAGUAGUUUAAGUUAUAAAUCUUCAUGUGGGGUAGAAUAGUCACAGCCUACAGUGAAGGAUUUUGGUUUUAUGAAAUUCUUUCUGGCAUGAGUAUCAUAAAGGAACUGCUGGGAAACAGGCCAUGACUGCAUAUAUUUGCUAAGCUUUUUGGGCAUGUGGACAGUGUUGUUUCAUGUGCCGCUUUCACAGAACUUCCUUUUGGCGCACUGUAAUAGUUGUGUAUCACUAGGUAACUCUGCCCUACUUACUUUCCCAGAGUUCAAGUUGUUUCUUCUCUCUCUCUCUUGAUGGUUUUGAAAUUCUGACUGCUUCAAGUGUCAACACCGUGGUGAACCUUGGUUCAUUUUUGGUUUGGGUGGAGGUCUUAAAACAGCUGCCGAGAUGGGUCUGCAACUUGUUUGGGGGCAAGUUGUUGAUUUUUUGAUAUAUUAUGAUGUAUAGCUGAUUACUAUGAUUGUUCUUCUUCAAGUUGUUGAGUUGUUAUAGCUCUGAAAUUAAUCUAAGAAUCUUACAAUCAAAAACAUGGGUUGGGAUUUGCAGAAUCUUUUUGUACAAAUAGGCCAAGUUGUUGAUGUAUGAAAAUUGUUCAAAAAAGCAGUCCACACUUCACUUUGUCUUGAAUCUUCCUUCUCACCUAACGUGAGCAUAUAUUCCAUAAUGUUGACCACUCACUCUGCUACAUUUAUUCUUACAUUCUUUUCUUAAGAAUAUGCGUUUGAAAAUUUAACCUCUAUUCAUCUAGAUUAACGUUGACCAUUUUCUUAUCUUUUCUUUUUUUUUUUUUAGACAAUUACGAUCCACUCGAAGCUAUGGUUUUAUAGAAAAACCAUUAGCAUAUAAAUAUUUAAGUUAAGGUUUUAUGGAAAAAAAACCAUUGUAUCUAUAUUUAAUGACUAAUUUAGAGGAGUAAACGGACAAAAAGAAGUAUUCGUUUAUUUAUAUUUAUAUUUA